rnacentral:rRNA from 1 species
AACGAACGCUGGCGGCAUGCCUAACACAUGCAAGUCGAACGAGACCUUCGGGUCUAGUGGCGCACGGGUGCGUAGCGCGUGGGAACCUGCCCUUAGGUUCGGAAUAACUCCCCGAAAGGGGUGCUAAUACCGGAUAAUGUCUUCGGACCAAAGAUUUAUCGCCUUUGGAUGGGCCCGCGUUGGAUUAGCUAGUUGGUAGGGUAAAAGCCUACCAAGGCGACGAUCCAUAGCUGGUCUGAGAGGAUGAUCAGCCACACUGGGACUGAGACACGGCCCAGACUCCUACGGGAAGCAGCAGUGGGGAAUAUUGGACAAUGGGCGAAAGCCUGAUCCAGCAAUGCCGCGUGAGUGAUGAAGGCCUUAGGGUUGUAAAGCUCUUUUACCCGGGACGAUAAUGACAGUACCGGGAGAAUAAGCUCCGGCUAACUCCGUG